UAAGAUAACUACAUUAGCUCGCCUUGAGCUU
rnacentral:sRNA from 1 species